UGGGGAAUAUUGCGCAAUGGGGGGAACCCUGACGCAGCGACGCCGCGUGGAGGAAGAAGGUUUUCGGAUUGUAAACUCCUGUCUACAGGGACGAAAAAAAUGACGGUACCUGUGGAGGAAGCCCCGGCUAACUACGUGCCAGCAGCCGCGGUAAUACGUAGGGGGCAAGCGUUGUCCGGAAUUACUGGGUGUAAAGGGCGUGCAGGCGGGUAAAUAAGUCAGAUGUGAAAUACCGAGGCUCAACUUCGGAGCUGCAUCUGAAACUAUAUAUCUUGAGUGCGGGAGAGGAAAGCGGAAUUCCUAGUGUAGCGGUGAAAUGCGUAGAUAUUAGGAGGAACACCAGUGGCGAAGGCGGCUUUCUGGACCGUAACUGACGCUGAGGCGCGAAAGCGUGGGGAGCGAACAGG
rnacentral:rRNA from 1 species